AAAAAAAUUUUUUUCUUAUAAUGUCACUUUAUUUGGAUUCCAAACAAAUCAAAGCAGGGAAGAGGUGACCUCGAGCUAACCUGUCCCUUCGCGAGCUGGGCCCACAAGUCUCUGGCUCCAACACGGGGUCCGCGGCGCCCAGGCCCCCGAGCCGCACGCAGCUCACGCGGCCCCGAGGACACCCCAGCGGGCGGCGCCGCCUGGAAGCUGAGAAGACCCAGGCCCGCCAGCGGGAGCGCACCCCUCCCGGAGCCACUACCCAGGAUAUCUGAAAAGGACAGCCACCUCUGAGUAUUAUCCUGAACUGACAUCUCAUCACUAGUCCUGUGGACUCUUUGAGAGUCGUGUUAAUAGUGUUUGACAGGCAGCUGUGGUGUCCUAGAAAGUCUGGACUGGUGUUCACAGACUUCUCUAAUUUCAGCUCUCACUUAGAAGCUGUGUGAACUUUGGCACUUACUAGACCUCUAUGCAAUUGGAUUUUGCUCAUUGGUAAAAAUAGAUGCCAUUGUUAUUUACUCAACAAAAAGUUCACAAGUUAAAAAAAGACACCACCAUGUACUCACAGGGUUGUUGUGAAUAUUUAAUGCAGUAAGGUAAUAAGCAAAUAACUGCAGGCAAUAAACACUUGACUAAAUAUUUGAUGAAUCUGUAUUCUCUGAUGAUAAACAUUUUCCAUUUCUUUUCAAUAAGCAGCAAGGAAAACUAACCUUUGCAAUGUCCCAAGCAAAGUCACAAAAGUUGAGCCACAAGAAGUUUUGGUUUGAUUCCCAUGCCUAUGCUGUAUUUUCUCAUAGAUGGUAAUAAAUGCAUGUUAAUAGUGA